rnacentral:rRNA from 1 species
AACGAACGCUGGCGGCAUGCCUAACACAUGCAAGUCGAACGAGACCUUCGGGUCUAGUGGCGCACGGGUUCGUAACGCGUGGGAACCUGCCCUUAGGUUCGGAAUAACUCCCCGAAAGGGGUGCUAAUACCGGAUAAUGUCUUCGGACCAAAGAUUUAUCGCCUUUGGAUGGGCCCGCUUUGGAUUAGCUAGUUGGUAGGUUAAAAGCCUACCAAGGCGACGAUCCAUAGCUGGUCUGAGAGGAUGAUCAGCCACACUGGGACUGGGACACGGCCCAGACUCCGCCGGAAGGCAGAAGUGGGGAAGAUGGAACAAUGGGCGAGAGCUUAAUCCAGUAAGGCCGCGUGAGUGAUGAAGGCCUGAGGGUUGAAAGGCUCUUUACCCGGGAUGAUAAUGACAGUACCGGGAGAAUAAGCUACGGCUAACUCCGUG